rnacentral:rRNA from 1 species
CAGCAGCCGCGGGAAUACGUAGGGUGCAAGCGUUAAUCAGAAUUACUGGGCGUAAAGCGUGCGCAGGCGGUUUGUUAAGACGGAUGUGAAAUCCCCGGGCUCAACCUGGGAACUGCAUUCGUGACUGGCAAGCUAGAGUAUGGCAGAGGGGGGUAGAAUUCCACGUGUAGCAGUGAAAUGCGUAGAUAUGUGGAGGAAUACCGAUGGCGAAGGCAGCCCCCUGGGAUAACACUGACGCUCAUGCACGAAAGCGUGGGGAGCAAACAGGAUUAGAUACCCCUGUAGUCCCUGUCUCUUAUAC